GCCUGGCUAGCUCAGUUGGUAGAGCAUGGAACUCUUAAUCCCUGGGUUGUAAGUUUGAGCCUCAUGUAGGGCA
rnacentral:tRNA from 1 species